rnacentral:rRNA from 1 species
UACGGAGGAUGCAAGCGUUAUCCGGAAUUAUUGGGCGUAAAGCGUCCGUAGGUGGCUUUACAAGUCAGCUGUUAAAGCGUGGAGCUUAACUCCAUAAAGGCAGUUGAAACUGUGAGGCUAGAGUGCGGUAGGGGUGAGGGGAAUUCCCAGUGUAGCGGUGAAAUGCGUAGAUAUUGGGAAGAACACCGGUGGCGAAAGCGCCUUGCUGGACCUGCACUGACACUGAGGGACGAAAGCUAGGGGAGCGAAAGGG